GAUGAACGCUAGCGGCAGGCUUAAUACAUGCAAGUCGAGGGGCAGCAUGAUUGUAGCAAUACAAUUGAUGGCGAGCGGCAAAAGGGUACGGAACACGUACAGAACCUUCCUUCGAGCGGGAGAUAGCGUAGGGAAACUUGGAGUAAUAUUGCAUAGGAACAUAGAGUGGCAUCACUUAGUGAUUAAAGAUUUAUCGCUUGAAGAUGGCUGUGCGUCGGAUUAGGAAGUGGGUGAAGGUAACGGCUCACCAAGCCUUCGAUCAGUAACGGGUGUGAGAGCACGACCAGUCAAACGGGAACUGAGACACGGGCCCGACUCCUACGGGAGGCAGUAGUAAGGAAUAUUGGGCAAUGGAGGCAACUCUGACCCAGCCAUGCCGCGUGGAGGAUGAAGGUCCUCUGGAUUGUAAUCUUCUUUUAUUUGGGAAGAAAUGCCGAUUUUCUAAUUGGUUUGACGGUACCAGAUGAAUAAGCACCGGCUAACUCCGUGCCAGCAGCCGCCGUAAAAC
rnacentral:rRNA from 1 species